UUGCUUAGGCAGCAGAUGUGAUAAAUUGGAAUCGAUACAGAGAAGAUUAGCAUGGCCCCUGCUUCACGCAAAUUCGUGAAGCUUUUCCAGAUUUU
rnacentral:snRNA from 1 species